ensembl:lncRNA
UGCCGAUGCCAUAAUGCAGGUCCUGAAGACCUCCUGCGAGGUCUUUUAUCCAAGGAAAAGCUGCCCAGGAAAGCAAAGUCCAGAGAUGACAGAGCAGGCAGUUGUUUUCCCCCAGCAGCAGCUCUGGCUUUGGAGGGACCUGGCACCUCGCCCUCAAGCGCAGCCAAGACCUCAGCCUUGCUUGGAGCUGCUUGUGGCCCCAAGAUUGCAAAGAGAAGCGUUUAUGGAGGGCUUUAAAAGGAGAGUUGGGUACUGCGUUUUGGGUCCCAUCUGGAAUAUAAACCCAGGAAUGUCCUCAGCAGCGAGUGGUUCUGAGCCGGGCACGCUUUUCCUAAAAUGGUUUGUGACAGAGAAGCUGCGAAUCCCGCUUGUUCUGCCCCGCCGUGCCAGGAGCGUGAGCUUCCUCCGGCUGCUCGUGCCUGAUGCUUUCAAAGACCAAAGGUGUCGCCGUGGUUCAUCCCUGGUAGCAUCCGUGCGAGAUUCACCCCUCGGGCGGGAGCUCUGCCGGGGCGGGGAGGAGGAUGUCGUCUCCGAAAGGAGCUUUUUACCGGGGCCGCGGUGGGACGAGGCGGCCGCGCGCUUCUCCCGGCGGCUCAUGGCUCGCACGCGGCAGCCCCGCGAACGAGGCGCCUUGCGGAGCGGCUCCGGUUUUGCCUGUGUGUGAG